CGUAGGGUGCGAGCGUUAAUCGGAAUUACUGGGCGUAAAGCGUGCGCAGGCGGUUUUGUAAGCCAGAUGUGAAAUCCCCGGGCUCAACCUGGGAAUGGCAUUUGGGACUGCAAGGCUUGAGUGCGGCAGAGGAGACUGGAAUUCCUGGUGUAGCAGUGAAAUGCGUAGAUAUCAGGAGGAAUACCGAUGGCGAAGGCAGGUCUCUGGGCUGACACUGACGCUCAUGCACGAAAGCGUGGGGAGCAAACAGGAUUAGAUACCCUGGUAGUCCACGCCCUAAACGAUGUCGACUGGUUGUUGGGGGUUUGACACUCUCAGUAACGAAGCUAACGCGUGAAGUCGACCGCCUGGGGAGUACGGCCGCAAGGUUA
rnacentral:rRNA from 1 species